GGCCUGAGCGUCCUCGGUUGGACUGGGAGCUGAAAACAGCUGCGACGUGACCGUGGCUGCCGGCCGGCGACUGGCGAGUUCCCUGUAUGUGCAUUUUCCCAUGCAAAAAAGAAGCUAUGAGAAAAUUAUCAAAAAUACAAACUGAGAGUAUAGAAAUAAAGCUACUGAACCCAUGCAUCUAUUUUUGCCUCUUCCUGAAACUCUACCAAUAACAAGAUUUUUUUUUUUGUACCAGGGAUCGAACUCUGGUCCUUGCACUUGCGCAGCAGGCAACGAAACCACUGAGCUAAAUCAAAUAUCAGGAUUUUUGAAGGUAUAAACAGUUGUGAUGACACUGUCAGAGACCACCAUAAGAAAGGACAAAUACACUUUUGGCCUCUCCGCCUGUUACUCAUUAAAAACAUGAUUUGUGUUCUCUUCUGAGGCAGAACAGCUUUUGCUAAAACUCAUGACUUUUCCUUGGGCUUACAGAUGCCUAACAGGAAGUUGGAAGAGAAUGAGCUGCAUAUCUUCUCGAGAUGCUGCCUGGAAGUGAAAAAGUAGAGAAGGUACAAAACCAGCAUGCUAAUUUGAAAUAGCAUGACUCAGCAAAAGAUUUAGACGUUGUUGCCUCUUUCAUUGGGAAGGAAGUUGCUAUUUCCAUGACAAACCUGUUGAACUCUUCAAAUUGUGCAUAACACUGAUAAAAGUAGCAAGUAAAUACUAAUAUGUUAAAACGAAUAAAAUAAUAGAAAAAUUCUAAGCUUACAAAAACC
rnacentral:lncRNA from 1 species